rnacentral:rRNA from 1 species
AUUGAACGCUGGCGGCAGGCUUAACACAUGCAAGUCGAGCGGGGAAGGUUGCUUCGGUAACUGACCUAGCGGCGGACGGGUGAGUAAUGCUUAGGAAUCUGCCAUUUAGUGGGGGACAACAUUCCGAAAGGAAUGCUAAUACCGCAUACGUCCUACGGGAGAAAGCAGGGGAUCUUCGGACCUUGCGCUAAAUGAUGAGCCUAAGUCGGAUUAGCUAGUUGGUGGGGUAAAGGCCUACCAAGGCGACGAUCUGUAGCAGGUCUGAGAGGAUGAUCCGCCACACUGGGACUGAGACCAGGCCCAGACUCCUACGGGAGGCAGCAGUGGGGAAUAUUGGACAAUGGGCGGAAGCCUGAUCCAGCCAUGCCGCGUGUGUGAAGAAGGCCUUAUGGUUGUAAAGCACUUUAAGCGAGGAGGAGGCUCUCUUAGUUAAUACCUAAGAUGAGUGGACGUUACUCGCAGAAUAAGCACCGGCUAACUCUGUGCCAGCAGCCGCCGCCGUAA